GAUGAACGCUGGCGGCGUGCCUAAUACAUGCAAGUCGAGCGAACAGACGAGGAGCUUGCUCCUCUGACGUUAGCGGCGGACGGGUGAGUAACACGUGGAUAACCUACCUAUAAGACUGGGAAAACUUCGGAAACCCGGACCUAAUCCCGGAUAAUAUAUUGAACCGCAUGGUUAAAUAGUAAAAGACGGUUUUGCGGUCACUAAUCGAUGGAUCCGCGCCGCAUUAGCUAGUUGUUAAGGUAACGGCUUACCAAGGCAACGAGGCGUAGCCGACCUGAGGGGGUGAUCGGCCACACUGGAACUGAGACACGGUCCAGACUCCUACGGGAGGCAGCAGUAGGGAAUCUUCCGCAAUGGGCGAAAGCCUGACGGAGCAACGCCGCGUGAGUGAUGAAGGUCUUCGGAUCGUAAAACUCUGUUAUUAGGGAAGAACAAAUGUGUAAGUAACUAUGCACGUCUUGACGGUACCUAAUCAGAAAGCCACGGCUAACUACGUG
rnacentral:rRNA from 1 species